AACGAACGCUGGCGGCAGGCCUAACACAUGCAAGUCGAACGAGAUCUUCGGAUCUAGUGGCGGACGGGUUAGUAACGCGUGGGAACGUGCCUUUCACUACGGAAUAGUCCCGGGAAACUGGGUUUAAUACCGUAUACGCCCUUCGGGGGAAAGAAUUUCGGUGAAAGAUCGGCCCGCGUUAGAUUAGGUAGUUGGUGGGGUAAUGGCCUACCAAGCCUACGAUCUAUAGCUGGUUUUAGAGGAUGAUCAGCAACACUGGGACUGAGACACGGCCCAGACUCCUACGGGAGGCAGCAGUGGGGAAUCUUAGACAAUGGGGGAAACCCUGAUCUAGCCAUGCCGCGUGAGUGACGAAGGCCCUAGGGUCGUAAAGCUCUUUCGCCAGGGAUGAUAAUGACAGUACCUGGUAAAGAAACCCCGGCUAACUCCGUGCCAGCCGCCGCCGUAAAAC
rnacentral:rRNA from 1 species